GUUAUUUCAAAAAUAGGUAGAAAGAUCACUUUAAAGGGACUUCUUCAAGAUGGACAUAACAUUUAAAAUGAGAAAAUUUAAAAUAUCAUAAACUUAAGCUAAUAAUUUGAUACAGCACGUGAGUCAUCUUACACCACGUGGUGUAGGACGACUUUAUCCAACACCGGCAAAAAUACGGGAAAAUCCGGUCUGGUAUGCAAGUACAAGAACUGAACGCUAACAUGCUAGCUUCUGAUAGAAACCAGUAGAUUGAGAAGAAAAUAUUACACUGUAUAAGACAGGACUUGGCUUACGACUAUAAUAGAUCGGAAUUCCAUUCUUUAUAAGCAGUGCCAUUGAAUAUCGGAUCUGAGGAAGCAGACGACAAAAUAUCGGCUACUGAUAAGCAACAAAAUAAAGUUCAACAAGUACAUACACCGAGGCAAUCUCUGCAUGUCGAAAUUAGCCCCAAGUCAGGACCAGUUGAUAACUGUAAGGGAGCUUCUGGGGACGGAUCGCCAAGAUUUAAAACAGUAUAUUACAACAUACAUCGCCAUUAUGCAUAAAUAUUACUAAUAAACACUCAAAUA
rnacentral:lncRNA from 1 species